UACGAAGGGGGCUAGCGUUGUUCGGAAUUACUGGGCGUAAAGCGCACGUAGGCGGAUACUUAAGUCAGGGGUGAAAUCCCGGGGCUCAACCCCGGAACUGCCUUUGAUACUGGGUAUCUCGAGUCCGGAAGAGGUGAGUGGAAUUCCGAGUGUAGAGGUGAAAUUCGUAGAUAUUGGGAAGAACACCGGUGGCGAAGGCGGCUCACUGGCUCAUUACUGACGCUCAGGCGCGAUAGCGUGGGGAUCAAACAGG
rnacentral:rRNA from 1 species